UACGUAGGGGGCAAGCGUUAUCCGGAUUUACUGGGUGUAAGGGGAGCGUAGACGGCGAUGCAAGCCAGAUGUGAAAGCCCGGGGCUCAACCCCGGGACUGCAUUUGGAACUGUAUAGCUAGAGUGUCGGAGAGGCAGGCGGAAUUCCUAGUGUAGCGGUGAAAUGCGUAGAUAUUGGGAGGAACACCAGUGGCGAAGGCGGCCUGCUGGACGAUGACUGACGUUGAGGCUCGAAAGCGUGGGGAGCAAACAGG
rnacentral:rRNA from 1 species